CGAUCAGAAUGUGGAAACAACAGAAGCCAAGCCAGCUCUGGGCAUAAAUAAUAGGAAUGCAGAAAGUAUAUUUGCUAGGCACUGGCUAUAUAAAGAUUCCAGCUGUGGCUCCUUUGAUACUUGUUCAUUCAGCUCAAGGUUCAAAUAUUCAAGAAGAACAGAUGAUUGACUGGGUUUGAGUCAUGUGCCCAUCCUGAAACUAAUUACUUUCUCUAAAGGAAGGGAUGCUGUAUUCUGGUUGGUCAACCUGGCUUGUAUGCAUGCCCAUGUACAUAUGUAUGAGGCCAGCCUCAUCCAAAUCCCACAGAACAGGUUUGCCACUGGCAAAAGAGUUUCUGUUAGGUGGAAAAGAGAGAAAGGUGAAAAACAAUAGCUAUCAACCACAGAGUGCCAGGAUUUUACACAGAAAUUGUUGAAGUAAGCAAAAUAUUCCUUGGCCAAAGGAGAGGGAUAGUUGCUGUGCAUUGUCCACUUUAUAUUUUCAAGGUGACAAUGACAUGAAGAAUUGAACUUAGACCUUCCAAGUCUUCAUUGGUCUUUGGAAUUUGUUUUUCAGGUAGAUUAAUUUCCAGUAAAAGAAGAAGAAAGGGUAGCUUUCAAUGCAAAUGAUCUGUCAUCCCUGAGUUCCCAAAUUUGUCUUUUAGGGUGGCUAAAGGCCAGACAUUAGUAUUUUUUAGUUAUAGGUAGACACAAUAUCUUUAUUUUUUUAAUGUGGUGCUGAGGAUCGAACCUAGUCCCUUACACAGUAGGUAAGUGCUCUACCUCUGAGCCACAACCACAGCCCUGGUAACAGUUAUUGAUUCAAGGGGAAGGCAAUAACCCAGGUUAGCCCAAAGAAAUUGAAGGAAAGAAACUUAUUUCCAUAUUUGGGAGUGGAUUGUCUUCUGUUUUACUGGCUAUAGAAAAGCAAUCUCCUGCCCUAGUUGCUGCCAGCAGCCAUCUUGCUUCCAUGGAAGCCAGCCCAAGGAAGGCCAAGUCAAAGGAAUGGCAGAUAGACCCUGGUCAGAGUCCCAACUGGGUCAUACCUUGAGCUCUCUUCCCUUGCUGGAAUAUGUCAGAUAAUAGUCUUCCUAGUUGUUGAAACCAUUUUGACUCAGGAUCUCUGUCACUUGUAGAUAAAAGCAUAUAAAAGUCAGAUAUUGUGUUAAGUAAGUUCUUCAUAUGCAUUAUCUCAUUUUAGCCCCAUAAAACCCCAGAUUAGAUAGUAUUAGUAUCUCCUUUUUGAGGCAAAAAAAAAAAAACAAGGCACAAAAUGUUUAAGUAACUUGCUCAAGGCCACUUAGUUAUUGGACUUAGUCACUUGUUUCUAAAGCCCACAUCUAAGCCAGUAUAAGUAAAGCCAAAUAGCUUCAUAUCUACCAAUCUUCCUGGAAAAUAAAUGUGAAAUGGGAACAUUAUAAAAUUUUAGUUCUCUACUUAUUU
rnacentral:lncRNA from 1 species